rnacentral:rRNA from 1 species
UACAAGCAACAAUAAAGUGAAACCGCAAAAGGCUCAUUAUAUCAGUUAUGGUUCCUUAGAUCGUAUCCACAUUACUUGGAUAACUGUGGUAAUUCUAGAGCUAAUACAUGCAUUAAAAGAGAAACCGGUAAAAUGGAAUCUCUGCUUUUAUUAGAUUUAAACCAAUGGGGAACGUUUACGCGCUCUCAAUUAAAAUGGUUGAACUCUGGAUAAUUUGUUGAUCGCAUGGUCUUGUACCGGCGACGGAUCUUUCAAAUGUCUGCCCUAUCAACUAUUGAAGGUAGUGUCUUGGACUACCUUGGUUGCAACGGGUAACGGGGAAUCAGGGUUCGAUUCCGGAGAGGGAGCCUGAGAAACGGCUACCACAUCUAAGGAAGGCAGCAGGCGCGUAAAUUACCCACUCCCAGCACGGGGAGGUAGUGACGAAAAAUAACAAUACAAGACUCACAUCCGAGGCCUUGUAAUUGGAAUGAGUACACUUUAAAUCCUUUAACAAGGAUCAAUUGGAGGGCAAGUCUGGUGCCAGCAGCCGCGGUAAUUCCAGCUCCAAUAGCGUAUAUUAAAGUUGUUGCGGUUAAAACGUUCGUAGUUGAACUUGUGCUUCGCACGGGCAAUACCAAGGAUCAUGUACUUGGUUCGGUAUCUUGUCUUAUCUUCAUUUAUUUUCGGAUAUGUGAAAAGUGCGUGAGCGUAUUAUCGGCGUGUUGUUUUUCUCAAUGGGAAACUUCACAUAAGCUUGCUUCAGUGCUCUUAAACAAGUGCAGUUGUAAGCCGAUACAAAUUACUUUGAACAAAUUAGAGUGCUUAAAGCAGGCUUGUAAUGCCUGAAUAUUUUGUGCAUGGAAUAAUGAAAUAGGACAUCUGUUCUACUUUCAUUGGUUUUUUAGACCAAGAUGUAAUGAUUAAUGGAAGCAGUUGGGGGCAUUAGUAUUACAACGCGAGAGGUGAAAUUCUUAGACCGUUGUAAGACUGACUAAAGCGAAAGCAUUUGCCAAAGAUGUUUUCAUUUAAUCAAGAACGAAAGUUAGAGGUUCGAAGGCGAUCAGAUACCGCCCUAGUUCUAACCAUAAACGAUGCCAGCUAGCAAUUGAGUGUAGCUACUACUAUGGCUCUUUCAGUCGCUUCUCGGGAAACCAAAGCUUUUGGGCUCCGGGGGAAGUAUGGUUGCAAAGCUGAAACUUAAAGGAAUUGACGGAAGGGCACCACCAGGAGUGGAGCCUGCGGCUUAAUUUGACUCAACACGGGAAAACUUACCAGGUCCGAACAUAAAUGAGUAAGACAGAUUGAUAGCUCUUUCUCGAAUCUAUGGGUGGUGGUGCAUGGCCGUUCUUAGUUCGUGGAGUGAUUUGUCUGGUUAAUUCCGAUAACGAACGAGACUCAAAUAUAUUAAAUAGAUGCAUUCAGGAUUAUGAUGUUGAAGCUUUGCAUACCCUAUUGUCAUUACUGCGAGUUAAGUGGUUUCGGCUAUUUAAUUUUAUGUAUGAUAAUGUUGUGGUUAUGUAGGUGGAAUCAUACCUGUUUGUUUGUCUAAAUACACAAAAUAGACACUUAGCUUCUUAAAUGGACAAAUUGUGUCUAACAAUAAUGAGAUUGAGCAAUAACAGGUCAGUGAUGCCCUUAGAUGUCCUGGGCUGCACGCGCGCUACAAUGAAGGUAUCAACGUGUGUUUCCUAGGCCGAGAGGUCCGGGUAAACCGAUGAACCACCUUCUUGCUUGGGAUUGUGAACUGAAACUGUUCACAUCAACCUGGAAUUCCCAGUAAGUGCGAGUCAUUAACUCGCAUUGAUUACGUCCCUGCCCUUUGUACACACCGCCCGUCGCUACUACCGAUUGAAUUGUUUAGUGAGGUCUCCGGACGUGAUCGCUGUGACGCCUCGUGUGUUAUAGUUGCUUCACAGAAGUUGACCGAACUUGGGUAUUUAGAGGAAGUAAAAGUCGUAACAAGGUUUC